GGUUAAGUGAAUAAGGGCGCACGGUGGAUGCCUUGGCACUAGGAGCCGAUGAAGGACGGGACUAACACCGAUAUGCUUUGGGGAGCUGUAAGUAAGCUAUGAUCCAGAGAUUUCCGAAUGGGGGAACCCAAUAUCUUUUAUAGGAUAUUACUUUUCAGUGAAUACAUAGCUGAUUAGAGGUAGACGCAGAGAACUGAAACAUCUUAGUACCUGCAGGAAGAGAAAGAAAAUUCGAUUCCCUGAGUAGCGGCGAGCGAAACGGGAAGAGCCCAAACCAACAAGCUUGCUUGUUGGGGUUGUAGGACUCCAAUAUGGUAGUCUGUUAGUAUAGUUGAAGGAUUUGGAAAAUUCCGCUAAAGAGGGUGAAAGCCCCGUAGACGAAAUGCUAACAACACCUAGGAGGAUCCUGAGUACGGCGGAACACGAGAAAUUCCGUCGGAAUCCGCGGGGACCAUCCCGCAAGGCUAAAUACUCCCUAGUGACCGAUAGUGAACCAGUACCGUGAGGGAAAGGUGAAAAGCACCCCGGAAGGGGAGUGAAAUAGAUCCUGAAACCGUGUGCCUACAACAAGUCAAAGCUCGUUAAUGAGUGAUGGCGUGCCUUUUGUAGAAUGAACCGGCGAGUUACGAUUGCAUGCGAGGUUAAGUCGAAGAGACGGAGCCGCAGCGAAAGCGAGUCUGAAUAGGGCGAAUGAGUAUGUAGUCGUAGACCCGAAACCAUGUGAUCUACCCAUGUCCAGGUUGAAGGUGCGGUAAAACGCACUGGAGGACCGAACCCACGUACGUUGAAAAGUGCGGGGAUGAGGUGUGGGUAGCGGAGAAAUUCCAAACGAACUUGGAGAUAGCUGGUUCUCUCCGAAAUAGCUUUAGGGCUAGCCUCGGAAUUGAGAAUGAUGGAGGUAGAGCACUGUUUGGACUAGGGGCCCAUCUCGGGUUACCGAAUUCAGAUAAACUCCGAAUGCCAUUCAUUUAUAUCCGGGAGUCAGACUGCGAGUGAUAAGAUCCGUAGUCGAAAGGGAAACAGCCCAGACCACCAGCUAAGGUCCCAAAAUAUAUGUUAAGUGGAAAAGGAUGUGGGGUUGCACAGACAACUAGGAUGUUGGCUUAGAAGCAGCCACCAUUUAAAGAGUGCGUAAUAGCUCACUAGUCGAGUGACCCUGCGCCGAAAAUGUACCGGGGCUAAACAUAUUACCGAAGCUGUGGACUACACCAUUAGGUGUAGUGGUAGGAGAGCGUUCUAAGGGCGUUGAAGGUCGAUCGUGAGGACGGCUGGAGCGCUUAGAAGUGAGAAUGCCGGUAUGAGUAGCGAAAGACAGGUGAGAAUCCUGUCCACCGUAUGACUAAGGUUUCCUGGGGAAGGCUCGUCCGCCCAGGGUUAGUCGGGACCUAAGCCGAGGCCGAUAGGCGUAGGCGAUGGACAACAGGUUGAUAUUCCUGUACCAGUUGUUUUUGUUUGAGCAAUGGAGGGACGCAGUAGGCUAAGGAAUGCAUGCGAUUGGAAGUGCAUGUCCAAGCAAUGAGUCUUGAGUAGAGUUAAAUGCUUUACUCUCUAAGGACAAGUUGUGACGGGGAGCGAAAUAAUAGUAGCGAAGUUCCUGAUGUCACACUGCCAAGAAAAGCUUCUAGUGAGAAAACAACUGCCCGUACCGUAAACCGACACAGGUAGUCGAGGAGAGUAUCCUAAGGUGAGCGAGCGAACUCUCGUUAAGGAACUCGGCAAAAUGACCCCGUAAC
rnacentral:rRNA from 1 species